UCAAAAGUAAAAGACGGUCUUGCUGUCACUUAUAGAUGGAUCCGCGCUGCAUUAGCUAGUUGGUAAGGUAACGGCUUACCAAGGCAACGAUGCAUAGCCGACCUGAGAGGGUGAUCGGCCACACUGGAACUGAGACACGGUCCAGACUCCUACGGGAGGCAGCAGUAGGGAAUCUUCCGCAAUGGGCGAAAGCCUGACGGAGCAACGCCGCGUGAGUGAUGAAGGUCUUCGGAUCGUAAAACUCUGUUAUUAGGGAAGAACAUAUGUGUAAGUAACUGUGCACAUCUUGACGGUACCUAAUCAGAAAGCCACGGCUAACUACGUGCCAGCAGCCGCGGUAAUACGUAGGUGGCAAGCGUUAUCCGGAAUUAUUGGGCGUAAAGCGCGCGUAGGCGGUUUUUUAAGUCUGAUGUGAAAGCCCACGGCUCAACCGUGGAGGGUCAUUGGAAACUGGAAAACUUGAGUGCAGAAGAGGAAAGUGGAAUUCCAUGUGUAGCGGUGAAAUGCGCAGAGAUAUGGAGGAACACCAGUGGCGAAGGCGACUUUCUGGUCUGUAACUGACGCUGAUGUGCGAAAGCGUGGGGAUCAAACAGGAUUAGAUACCCUGGUAGUCCACGCCGUAAACGAUGAGUGCUAAGUGUUAGGGGGUUUCCGCCCCUUAGUGCUGCAGCUAACGCAUUAAGCACUCCGCCUGGGGAGUACGACCGCAAGGUUGAAACUCAAAGGAAUUGACGGGGACCCGCACAAGCGGUGGAGCAUGUGGUUUAAUUCGAAGCAACGCGAAGAACCUUACCAAAUCUUGACAUCCUUUGACAACUCUAGAGAUAGAGCCUUCCCCUUCGGGGGACAAAGUGACAGGUGGUGCAUGGUUGUCGUCAGCUCGUGUCGUGAGAUGUUGGGUUAAGUCCCGCAACGAGCGCAACCCUUAAGCUUAGUUGCCAUCAUUAAGUUGGGCACUCUAAGUUGACUGCCGGUGACAAACCGGAGGAAGGUGGGGAUGACGUCAAAUCAUCAUGCCCCUUAUGAUUUGGGCUACACACGUGCUACAAUGGACAAUACAAAGGGCAGCGAAACCGCGAGGUCAAGCAAAUCCCAUAAAGUUGUUCUCAGUUCGGAUUGUAGUCUGCAACUCGACUACAUGAAGCUGGAAUCGCUAGUAAUCGUAGAUCAGCAUGCUACGGUGAAUACGUUCCCGGGUCUUGUACACACCGCCCGUCACACCACGAGAGUUUGUAACACCCGAAGCCGGUGGAGUAACCUUUUAGGAGCUAGCCGUCGAAGGUGGGACAAAUGAUUGGGGUGAAGUCGUAACAAGGUAGCCGUAUCGGAAGGUGCGGCUGGAUCACCU
rnacentral:rRNA from 1 species